AAGACCUCGUAGCAGUGCUCCAGGCCUCACAGAUGCCAGCCUAACAGCUAAUAGGGCAAAAUGUAAAAUAGGGAACCACAAAGUCACCUUUGGGCUACACCAUGGGAGGAGGCUGUCUGCGGCCACUAGUCAACCACGUCCAAGCAUUGACAGACUGUCCAGUGCCCACGAUCAAGAAAUAAGUCUGGACUAUAUUAUUGGCGCUUCAUGCCAGGAUUUGCCACGCUUGCAGCCCCCCUCACAGACUUGUAAAAAAUGGAUGGCCGAGGAAGGUCCAGUGAUCAGAGGCCUGCAACAGGAUAUAUAAACCUCCCACUAGCAUGGAAGGGGUUAAGGAGCAGAUUUGGACUACAGUGGCCCUACCCCACCACACCUGCAAAUCAAGCCAGGACUGGAGGAGGAAUUAAAAAGAGGGAACUCCACUCAGAUUGUGCCAACUCUGGGAAAGGAACAGACUGCUGAGCUUCUCCAGCCCUGGAGAGAGGCCCUGCCCUUGCAGAAGGAGGGUGAAGAGCCCCUAAGUCAAAGAGGAAAAGAACUGAGGCUUGCACUGGAGCCCAGUGCACUCUGAAAUGGACACUGACAUUCCCAGGGCCCCUCUGAAGUAAGAGAGGCCCAUAUCCUGGAGGAAGCUGCUUACAGGCUUUUCUUUACCUUUCUUUUGCUUAACUCCUUUUGCUGACUACAGGCAGUUUGGUGGCAUCAGAGGGUACACAGAGCGGGGACUAGCCAGUCAAGAGGCCCCAGCUGGAAGAAACAACCAAAGAAAAUAUUAAAAUAGGAGAAUGGGGAGAAGUCAUUCAUAAAAAUACAGUAAAUAAAGCAUGUGUAUGAAUACAGGACCCAGGAGUGAGAGAAUUCCAAAAUGCAUGGUGCAGUGGAUACCAUGUACAGGUGUGAUGCCCAGGACCUUCCACUCUCUGGCUGAUUUAGAGCUUUUGAGGAGGAGCACUGGGGAGUCCAGACGACCGUUGGAUUUCGUUGCUGGCAAGGAGGCCCUCUGGGAUGAUGGACACCAGGAAUGCAGGAUGGCAGGAAUGGUGGUGACAGGCCUCCUUCUCCUCAAUCUCACUGUGGGACCAACAGUAUUCUUCACUCUUCAGCUCUGGAGCACUGUGAAGAGCUGACCGUGUACGUACUGUCACUGAGGUGGACAGCCCUGCGCAGGCACUGAACAAGUCCUUAUAUCACUUUUGUGGUGGGAAAAGUUCUGAGAAGAUGGAACACUGAGGGCUGGUUUUGGCGGGCAAAAACUGGUUUUGACUGGUUUGAGUCUGUAUCUUGAUGGUAAACAAGUCCACUCUUAGAGAUGGAGUCCAAGGGUCAAUAGUUCAUAUACUCCAUAUUGGAUCUGAUUUCAAAGCCAGUGAUUUACUUCAUAAACACCUUAUUAAACAACUAA